AGUGAAGAAGAAGCAGGAAGAGCGCCAUCUUUAAUGAGCCAUCAGCAGAUACCAUAUGCCAGAUACUGUCAGCUCUCUGAGACCAGCAAGAUUGAAGACAGUCUCUCAGAAAUGAGUCUGUAACCCCAGAGGAGACUUCACCAGUGAAAAUCAAUCCUUGAGAUGAUUGCUGCAGUUCUUAAAUAAGAAGCAUUCUUUUCUUUUGAACUCCAAACUGUAAGAAUGAUGUAAGCAAUGCUUACACAAUAUAAAGAGAUCCUGACCAAUAAUGAAAGAAGUAGAAGAAGGAGUAAAGUGAAAAGCUAAAGUGGAAGAGAGAGAAAGAGAAAGAGAUGGAGAGACUUGAUGGUACCCAGCCCUUAGAACGCUCUCUGAAAUCUAAUCCUAUUUUCCGAGGGACAUGUAACCUCUCAAAUUGAGAGAAGGGAUUGCAGAGCUAUUGACUGUAUUCGCCCCUGUGUCUCACCUUCCCAUCUCCAAGAUUUCCUUGUCAAUUACCCAUAUUGGUGUCAGUUUAUCCACAUCCAUGCUUUCAAAUUUAAACAAAGAAACUAGGCAAAGGCAGCUCUGUAUUCACUAGGAUUAGGGAGGAGAAGAUAAUCAACCGCUGGUUAGUGAGAAGAAAGAGAGGUGGAGAAAGUGAGACACCCCAGUAACAGAGGCAUCUAAGAAUAGGGACAUAGUUAUAUGUAAAACAUGCAAUAAUUUUAUAUAUAUGUACAAAAGUGAUACACACAUAUGUACAUAAUUAAACAAAACACAAUUACUGUCUACAUUUCUUUGUCACCUAAUGUUUUAUGCUGUUUGUAACUGAAAAAAAAAAGUUCCCUUCUGAAUAAAAUGUCAAUUUUGUGAUUGCA